rnacentral:rRNA from 1 species
UACAGAGGGGGCAAGCGUUAUUCGGAAUGACUGGGCGUAAAGGGCGCGUAGGCGGCGAUCACAGUCAGAUGUGAAAUUCCUGGGCUUAACCUGGGGGCUGCAUUUGAUACGUGGUUGCUUGAGUGGGGAAGAGGGUCGUGGAAUUCCCAGUGUAGAGGUGAAAUUCGUAGAUAUUGGGAAGAACACCGGUGGCGAAGGCGGCGACCUGGUCCUUGACUGACGCUGAGGCGCGAAAGCGUGGGGAGCAAACAGG